CCUGGGUUUACAGUUUGAGAAUCUUUGUUCAGGGCAAGGAUCGGGGUGGAGAGCGCUGAAGCUCAUGAUGUGAGGCAAAUCCUCUCCGACUGCAAUUCCUCCCUAACUACAUUCCCCUGGACGCUUUCCUUUACCUGGCACACCACUGAAAAAAAGAAGAGGAACCCAUGUUUCAAACCAACGGAUUGUUUAGCAGCCACAUCUGUACAAGCUCAAAAAAAAAAGAAAAGAAAAAGCCUGGGUGCUUUCUCCUUUGGCACCAGCGAGACAUCCAAACCAUGGAAACCUCUGCCCAUAUGGAAUGCUCACCCUGGUCCCACGGUGAAUCAUAAUAGAGACCCAAGCCAGUCACCUUUCCUGGCCCUCACAAACCAUUUCUGACCUGCUUGAGAGGUCUGCCCGGUUCUCCCAGAGACCUCAAUUAUCCUUUCAGAGCUGGAUGCAUAAGUCAAGCAGCAUCAAUGCCAAUGACCUGUGAGGAAACAUUUAAGAAGGAGACACUACCUCUCUUUUCUGAAGAAUCAAAUCAGUGACUCAUUCUAAUUCUCUUGGGUGUGUGGAAGGAGGAUGAGAGCUUUGAACCUACAGCUACUGUUUAGUAACUACGAGGCGAUGUCCUGAGAUUUCCUACUAGGUCUCUGUCUGAGGAUGUAGUCAGUAUUUGAAAAAAGAACAGAGGGAUAAGGAGAAAAAUCAUCUGUAGCAUGACUCAAGUUGCUGGAUCUAGCCUCACCUGAAGAGAUACAUCUUGGACUUUUCUGUUACAUGACCUGACAUCUUCUCUUUAAAUAUUUUUUGUAGACACAAUUCUUCAUGUGGACUUAUGUAUUAAAUUUUAGCUGAAUCCAUGAAAUAAAUUUUUAUAAAUGGCUCAAAUACUCCAAGUUAAUGCUUACUUUUAUCUUUCUUUCCCUUAAUCUGAAAACUGCACAAUUCAAUAUAUUUUUAUUUUGAAAAUAAAACAUUGAGUUUUUAAGCCAAGGGUUGUGACAUACUAGGAAGAAAGAAAUCCAAC
rnacentral:lncRNA from 10 species